rnacentral:miRNA from 1 species
GCAGUGGGCAUCUGGCACUGUGGCUCCUGCAUGAAGACGGUGGCAGGAGGCGCCUGGACCUACAACACCACUUCCGCAGUCACAGUCAAGUCUGCC